UUCUCUGGGAUGUUUGUUAUUGGUGAGUCCCCUGAGCCGAUAUUUCAAACAAUAAGAAUGUGAUGAUCUCCAACUGGUGAGCACACCUGGUUUUCCAGGAAGCCUAAAAGUUGUGGCGUUGCGUUCACCUUGAGCCUAGGGUUCAAGGGUUAUAACUGAUAACGGCAUCCUGGAGAU
rnacentral:other from 1 species